AUUUUUUUCAUUUUCUUGCUGGAGGGACCAACACUACAAUUACAAAACAUGAAUUUCAUGGGCCAAAAUAGCCUGCGAAUCAAAAAUAAAAUAGAAAGCUUCCAAAGAAGGAAAAAAAAAUUUUCAACCAAUCCUUAAAAUCACAAGGAUAACUACUUCCGGGUGAGACCAAAAGAUUAGGGUUAAAUGAGGAGGCUCAGAUUUGCCUUUAAUCAGACAAGAAAAAGAGCAUAAUAACGGUUAUGGCUGCAACAAAGAAGCUCUCUAUGAAGUCAGGCAAAGCCAUCUCCACAGAAUACCUCGAUAUCGCCACGCCAAACAAUCAAAGCGUUCUUUAACGUCCGAUUUUUGCACUCAAGAAAAAAUAAAUCAUCACAGCCUCUUCACAUUCGGUGGUUUCGCAAAAGAAGCAGCAGCAGCAACACAGAGAGAGAGAGAGAGAGA
rnacentral:misc_RNA from 1 species